AUUAUUGACUAGUCAUAUAUUUUCUUGGCGGGUGGGGGCUGCACUGGUGGCGUUCUACGAAUUUGCGCCGCGUGUUUGUGCGGGUAAGCUUAAGUGCAGAAUUUUUUUUGCGCGUUAUGAAAACAAUGCACUGCAGGUAUUUUAAUUAAUGCAACGAGCUGUACGAAAUAUCGGUCAAGGGGUUGGAAACGUCGUUAUAGAGAAUCCCGACGAUUUUUCUUUUGCGUGUGUGUAUUUGGAGUUGAUUCACAGUUUUAUUUGUUUAUUUUGGCUACAUUGCGCCAAUUGCGCUUCCAUAGAAUAAAGAAACGCGCUUCCACGCGCUUGCCGACUCGAUCGCAAGGGGACAGCCUGAUCAACAUCAAUAUCAGCAGCAAUGGCGGAUUUGCGCUUGCCAUGGCGCUUGCAAAGUUUUCAAUAGUUUUCGACUAUUAAGUGAUGCUUUUGCUAUUUUAACGUGUGGAGGUUCAUUGUACGUCUGUUUUUUCAAGUUUGGCAUGUGUUUUAACACAUGUGAAGGUGUAGUCUUUUCUUCUUCAGCGGAUAUUUGUACAAGACCCCGUUCACCGUCUAUCAGCUCUAGCUCGGCAAGAAUAAAGCGGUUCCUUAGAAGUGGUGGAGGUGCUGGGGUUCUGCAUACCAAGGACGUAUAAGGUCACAAAGCUGCACCCAGGUAGAGGCAGAAUCCAAAAAUGCUUGUGUACUUAAGUAUAGCUGCACAUUACAGAAUCCAAGGCCCUCAAGAUUUAUCCAUAGCCCUCGUGUUCCAUAUUUUUUAUUGGGAUUGAAGAGUAACGUUUGUGCUGUAUCCUUCUAUUUCAGACUAAAUAAUGUGCAUGCAAAAUUAUAUCUUCAUUACUUUACAGCAUUGCACCAAUAUCUGUUGUGCGUUGAUUUUCUGAUGUCCUUGCAUUUGCUAUAGCAAGGAUUUUUAAAAAUCAGCCACAAAAGAAAGAAUAAAUGGUCAAGGAACAAAGUGGUGUGUAGCAGCUCCCUUUUUUUUAAUCGGCAGCAAGUUUUGCACUUGUGUGUUAGCAACACUGUUUCGCCAGUUGUGUACUUCAAAAGAAGUGUUACCUUUCUGCUUUGGAACUUUGUGGUUUUGUUCUGCCAGCUGCUUGACCAACACAAGCAAAAUGUACUUUGGAUAUUCCACAAAUUAAUUCUGUAUGCAUUUGGUACAAUAAAAUUUGUUUCAAGAAUGGACAAAUGCAGUGAUGGUUAAUUGAAAACUGCAACAUGCCGAUUUUAGUUUCAUGCUUCAUUAAUUUUCUCAGCCCCAAAGAAAGCAUGCGAGGUUUGAAA